AAUACUUUUAGCAAAUGUCACUUAUUUCCAAACUAGCAGUUUAUGGCUUGGUUCUUGCAACAGGUUUAUCUCUGGUACCAAUUUACUUUGUGCCAAAAGCUGUUCCAGAAAAAUAUAGAGACAUUCAAAAAGUUUCAAGGAAAGAUAUUGUUCAAUCAGAAGUACAACCUGGAAAUAUGAAGAUUUGGUCAGAUCCAUUUGAUCGUAAAAAAUAAGUUUAACUUGUUAAACAAUCUUAUUGUUUUUAUGGAGAUAAGAACAGCAAAGAAUUCAAAUCUAUAUUUAAUAAUUUUUUUUUUUCAUAAUAUAAAAUUUUAUUGUAUUUUUCUGAGUACUUAAUAACUAUGUUAGUGUGUAAAUAGAGUGUAACUGUGUAAGACUGUAGCUGGAUUGUAGUAA
rnacentral:lncRNA from 1 species